rnacentral:rRNA from 1 species
UACGUAGGGUGCAAGCGUUAAUCGGAAUUACUGGGCGUAAAGCGUGCGCAGGCGGCUUUGCAAGACAGAUGUGAAAUCCCCGGGCUCAACCUGGGAACUGCAUUUGUGACUGCAAAGCUGGAGUACGGCAGAGGGGGAUGGAAUUCCGCGUGUAGCAGUGAAAUGCGUAGAUAUGCGGAGGAACACCGAUGGCGAAGGCAAUCCCCUGGGCCUGUACUGACGCUCAUGCACGAAAGCGUGGGGAGCAAACAGG